UAAAAACUGAAGUUUCAGUUUCAACAUGAUUUUCCUUUUUCUUCAUGAUUUUCCUUUAAGAAUGUUUUCCAUAUGAAAGUGUUUUGCCACCUUUCUUAUCAAAUACAAUGUGAAGAGGGACCACAUUUUUCAGCAUACUUUCUCUAUAAGCCUGCUGAAGAUCUGACCAUUAUUAUUAUGGUAUAAUAAAAAAAUAACAAAUAUGUCAGAAAACAUAAUGCUGAGAAAAACGGUAUUAUCUUAAAACAUUUAUAUAUAAUCCAUCACUACUUGUUUUUCCUUCUUUUGUUACAAAUAUAGACUUGUGGAAUCUGGAGAACAAGACAUCAACUGCUUCAGAGGAAAAAAGCAACAUGUAAUAGGAAAGUAGUUCAGACGCAUUGAGGAAGAAUAAUUGAAAAGUAUCCAGCCAUCAGCUUUCAAGGGAAUACUGAUUUUAAAUGUAAGACUUCAGUAUCAAAAGACAAAUGCAUUUCUACAGCAAUGUCCACAAGACUGCCAAACUAUCUACUUGUCUGCGUUAAAAAUAUGAAUUUGAAAACCACAGUUUCAUUUCAUCCAAGGUUUAUUUUUGAGUCAACAACCAUUUGCAUUGUGAGAGUGACUGACUUGACAAAAGAACAUUAUGCUGUUUGGAUUUAUUCAUAAAUGGAAAUAUAAAGAUUUAAAAUGGAUAAUUGUAUAUUGGCAUAUGUUUGUGCAAUUUCACAGAAGAUUAUUUGAAGCAACUUAAAGAAAGGAAGUUGUAAAAACCUUUGGUACCACCACAGGCAUAUUCAGAGGGCAAUCUUAUCCAAUUAAAUUUAAAAUAAAGGCAAGAUGUUUCCAC
rnacentral:lncRNA from 1 species